GUGUGUGUGUGUGUGUGUGUGUGUGUGUGUGUGUGUGUGUGUGUGUGUGCGCAAUAGAUAUAUUAUAGAGUCUUGUUUCAAUGUCUACAACAACAUUUAGGCAGUUACAUCAGGGUAAAUAAUAUAUAUAUGUAAAUAUAUUACAUAGUACAUAUAGGGUAUAUUAUACAUAUAGAAUUAUGACUUAUAAAGAACCCAUACUGACGCUUGUGUUUGCAGUGUGUUAAAGAAGUGUGUGUCCUCAUCGUAAAGAAAUUCAGCAGAUUUAAGACUGUAGGCCCCCACUGGUAGUCAGUAUGGGAAGUUUCAGUAUAGUGCUUAGAGAGAGUAGGCAAUAGAAUUGCUAGAAGAUAGAUAGAUAAGGAGUAUUAUUUAAGGCAAUGACAUUUCAUUCUUUGUUACUGGAUCAUAAUAGCAAAAUCAAUAGGAAUGUGCAUUUGCGUAUCAUUUUCUUAAACUCCUGCCAGUUUUUUAAAUCAGAAAAUGGCUCUUAACAUGCAGUUGUAUUUCUUUUAAGCUUCCAGUUUUUUUCUCUCCAAAUUAAUUCCUUUUAUUGUCAUCUAACAUUCAGGAAAAAAUCAUAGCUAUCGAACAAUAUUUUGGACAAAUCUCUUUUGCAUUUUGUACCUCUUUAUGUUUUGAACAACGGUCUAUUCUGUUACUGUGAAACUACAACUCACUACAACUGACUCACUCAAGCACUUGACCUUUGACCUUGUUAUGAUGAAAUCAUAUGUUAUUAUUUCACCACCACCUGGGGUUAUUACCAUAAAGCAACAAGAAGCAGGGGGCACUUCAAUUUUGGCACUUAAAGUAAGAACAGAAAGUUGUGAUUCUUACAGUACAUUUCAACAAUGUAGAUAGAGAGAGAAAUGGGAACAAACAGCCUAUCUCCCCCUCCCUUAGCCUCACACUCGUCCUUCCUUCCUUCCUUCCUUCCUUCCUUCCUUCCUUCCUUCCUUCCUUCCUUCCUUCCUUCCUUCCUUCCUUCCUUCCUUCCUUCCUUCCUUCCUUUCUUCCUUUCUUUCUUCCUUUCUUUUCUCUCUUUCUUUUAUU
rnacentral:lncRNA from 1 species